CCUACGGGUGGCAGCAGUGGGGAAUAUUGCACAAUGGGGGAAACCCUGAUGCAGCGACGUCGCGUGAGUGAAGAAGUAUCUCGGUAUGUAAAGCUCUAUCAGCAGGAACGAAACAAGACGGUACCUGACUAAGAAGCCCCGGCUAACUACGUGCCAGCAGCCGCGGUAAUACGUAGGGGGCAAGCGUUAUCCGGAAUCACUGGGUGUAAAGGGAGCGUAGACGGCUGUGCAAGCCUGAAGGGAAAGGGGGGGGCCCAACCCCUGGACUGCUUUGGGAACUGUACGGCUGGAGUGCAGGAGAGGUAAGUGGAAUUCGUGGUGUAGCGGUGAAAUGCGUAGAUAUUAGGAGGAACACCAGUGGCGAAGGCGGCUUACUGGACUGUAACUGACGUUGAGGCACGAAAGCGUGGGGAGCGAACAGGAUUAGAUACCCGGGUAGUC
rnacentral:rRNA from 1 species